rnacentral:lncRNA from 1 species
UUCCUUAUGGGGCUCAAUGACAUCUAUGUGGGAGUCAGAAGCAAUAUUCUUAUGCUACAACCUCCACCAACUCUGGAUUGUGCAUACAAUAUUCUACUCCAAGAUGAGAGACAAAGACAAGUCUUUCACCUUCUCAAUUUCAUCAUGAUUCGAGUGCCUCCAAUGCUCAUUUCAGCAACAAACCCUCCAUCACAAGAUUUCCUCCCACAGCAGCUGGUUACCCUAAACAAUUCAGCCCAAGACUCAAUUCUGAUCCCAAUAGAGCAAACUUAGUUUGUAGGUAUUGUAAGAAACCUGGAAACCUGAUUGAAAAAUGCUAUAAGCUUCAUGGAUUUCCACCAGACUUCAAAUUCACAAGAGGAUUUCCAUCAGACUUCAAAUUCACCAAAGGAAGGAGGAGUGCAGCACAUGUUGAAGUGCAGGGGUGUACAAACCCUGCUGGAACUCAGAACAGUGCUGACAAUGCUGUGUAGGUAUUGAAAGAAACCUGGACACCUGAUUGAAAAAUGCUAUAAACUUCAUGGAUUUCCACCAGACAUCAAAUUCACAAGAGGAUUUCCAUCAGACUUCAAAUUCACCAAAGGAAGGAGGAGUGCAGUGUUAGAAACACGUUCUCAAUGCAAUAUACUAAACGUGUACUCUUUUGUAGGUUUUGAU